GACGAACGCUGGCGGCGUGCCUAAUACAUGCAAGUUGAGCGCUGAAGGUUGGUACUUGUACCGACUGGAUGAGCAGCGAACGGGUGAGUAACGCGUGGGGAAUCUGCCUUUGAGCGGGGGACAACAUUUGGAAACGAAUGCUAAUACCGCAUAACAACUUUAAACACAAGUUUUAAGUUUGAAAGAUGCAAUUGCAUCACUCAAAGAUGAUCCCGCGUUGUAUUAGCUAGUUGGUGAGGUAAAGGCUCACCAAGGCGAUGAUACAUAGCCGACCUGAGAGGGUGAUCGGCCACAUUGGGACUGAGACACGGCCCAAACUCCUACGGGAGGCAGCAGUAGGGAAUCUUCGGCAAUGGACGAAAGUCUGACCGAGCAACGCCGCGUGAGUGAAGAAGGUUUUCGGAUCGUAAAACUCUGUUGGUAGAGAAGAACGUUGGUGAGAGUGGAAAGCUCAUCAAGCGACGGUAACUACCCAGAAAGGGACGGCUAACUACGUG
rnacentral:rRNA from 1 species